CUUGUGCCAGCAGCCGCGGUAAUACAGAGGGUGCAAGCGUUAAUCGGAAUUACUGGGCGUAAAGCGCGCGUAGGUGGUUCGUUAAGUUGGAUGUGAAAUCCCCGGGCUCAACCUGGGAACUGCAUUCAAAACUGACGAGCUAGAGUAUGGUAGAGGGUGGUGGAAUUUCCUGUGUAGCGGUGAAAUGCGUAGAUAUAGGAAGGUACA
rnacentral:rRNA from 1 species